GGGGUGCGUUGUGGACCGACUGAGUCGAGCACGAGUCGGAGAAAAACAGCUAUUUGCCAAUUAACGGGGAAAACAUUAACCACUAAAAACCAACAAUGGCAUCAUCCAUUCGCCUAUCCUUAUCGCCGCCGUCUAAAACCCUAGCUCCGCCUUCCACUUCCACCAGCCGCGGUUGCAGAUGCUGCUCCGUCGUCUCCGUUUCAAAAUGCCAUAAACCGACGAGGAGAAAGAGGCAGCAGGUGAUUUGCAUGGCUCCCGAGGAAGAGAAAUUGAUUCGCCGUAAUCCCCUCGAUUUCCCCAUUGGCGUAGACCUGACAUUUUCCCUCAAUUCAGUCCCAUGAAAACACCAUUACCGGCGCCAAUGCCAUAUUCUCCUCCCCAAGAAGAUGAAGAAGACGAGGAAGAUCCAGAAAAGGAACAGGAACCCGAAAACCCCGAAAAGCAGUCAUGAGAAACAGUGCGUAGGCGGUGCAGUCAUUUCUUGCCGACAAAUCGAGCCCCCCACGCAUACUCGGCAAUGUGAUGCCUACACCGAAACGACCCCGGGUGCUUCGUCGGCGAACAUAAGCAUCGCUUUACCAUCGAACCAGCUCGCUCGUCUCUAGUAACCCCGGUUCUCGGUGCAUGACGGGCGGUGGUGGCGGCAAUCAAUGAUGCUUGGAGUACCAACAACCUGCGUCGCACCGCCGAGCCAUGUUUUCCGGCGGAUGGAACGGUUGCGUAGCACAUCUUUUUUUGUAAAGCUGAAGGAGCUUUUUUUGUUGAGGUGGAGAUUAUAUAUAUGAGGAAAAGAAGAAAGGUAUAGAAGGAGAGGUGGGCGAGUAAAGUUUUUUGGGGGUUUAUAAAGCAACUUCUUUUCAUUAAAUUGCAUCAAAAGGUUUAUGCGUUAUCCUCAAAGCGUCAGCUGCUCAUACGGCCACCUGUCAUGCCUAGUAUAUUAAAGGAUAAAUUCAAUCCAAGGUCACUAAAUUAUUAGUGAGUUUACGUUUUAGUCACUUAACUUCAAAAAGUUAUAAAAUACUAUUCGAAAAUUUUCAUUUAAGUUAUCAAACUAUCCGAAAGUUUUUAUUUAAGUCACUUAAUUGUUAAAAAAACAUUUAACUAGCGAGGUUCAAGUGACAAUUUGAUGAUUGGUAUGAUGAA